rnacentral:tmRNA from 1 species
GGGGAUGAAACGGUUUCGACAGGGAAGUGGAGGGUUACAGACGGCGAGCCGAGCUGUUCCAACUCGUUAAACUGGGCAAAACAAUAAUUGCCGAAAAAGUACCGGCUAACGUUAAAUCCUUCUACCGACUGCCCGUCGCGGCUUAAGUAUAAGGAAAUAACACUGACCUUCUAAGCUAAGGUCACGCUCGCGCUCUGCCUUCCCCCGAAAGGUGGGGCCGGGUGUCAACUAAGUCGGGGUGCUCCGGGGCGAUGUUGCUAAACCUCGGCUAAGAACAGCAACUGGUUUGGGUGAACCUGGACGGCAAGCGAACCCCAAACGACAAUCCGAGGGCCGUCUACGCUCGUAGAUGUUUGUAACUAGCUUUCAUGGACGCGGGUUCGACUCCCGCCAUCUCCACC